rnacentral:rRNA from 1 species
GACGAACGCUGGCGGCGUGCUUAACACAUGCAAGUCGAACGGUGAAGCUCCAGCUUGCUGGAGUGGAUCAGUGGCGAACGGGUGAGUAACACGUGAGCAACCUGCCCCUGACUCUGGAAUAAGCGCUGGAAACGGCGUCUAAUACUGGAUCCGAGAAGGGUCCGCAUGGGCACUUUCUGGAAAGUUUUUCGGUUGGGGAUGGGCUCGCGGCCUAUCAGCUUGUUGGUGAGGUAAUGGCUCACCAAGGCGACGACGGGUAGCCGGCCUGAGAGGGCGACCGGCCACACUGGGACUGAGACACGGCCCAGACUCCUACGGGAGGCAGCAGUGGGGAAUAUUGCACAAUGGGCGAAAGCCUGAUGCAGCGACGCCGCGUGAGGGAUGACGGCCUUCGGGUUGUAAACCUCUUUCAGCAGGGAAGAAGCGAAAGCGACGGUACCUGCAGAAGAAGCACCGGCUAACUACGUG